GCUUUGAACCUACUGCGUGGCUUCUUCUAUUGGUUGCAGAAUUUGUCCCAUGAGGAUGCUUUUCAGCCUUGGAUGGACCCAUCAUGCCUGAAUGUGUUGCCACUGUCAUAACUUGGAUAUGUAGCUCAGUUUAAGCUCUUGUUUAAGUCCACUGUAUUUGGUGAUGGAUAAAUCAGAUAAAACAGUGUCCUGAAUGUAUUUUGGUGGUGUUUGGUUUCAUGCUCUGUAAGUACGUUAUAAAGUUAGGUGCUAACCAUUCAUUUGUUGCAUGAUCCACAUGAAGUAUAGGAAACACAUUCCUUCUGCAUAACUCAGAAGUGUAGCAUUUUUCCUUCUUAUUUGUGCGUUUCAUUUCCCUUUUAAUUUCAAAAGUUUCAAUGUAAA